GAGUUUGAUCCUGGCUCAGGAUUAACGCUGGCGGCGUGCCUAACACAUGCAAGUCGAACGCCCAGCACCUUUUUACAGCGCUUCAGGCGCUCCAUUCGCUUCGCGAAUGUGACCGGAGUACCGGUCGGUGAAAAGGUGCUGGGAGUGGCGGACGGCUGAGUAACACGUUGGUACCUGCCCCUGACUCGGGGAUAAGCGCUGGAAACGGCGUCUAAUACCCGAUACCCUCUUCGGAGGAAAGCUUUUGCGGUUAGGGAGGGGCCUGCGCAUGAUUAGUUUGUUGGUGAGGUAACGGCUCACCAAGGCUUCGAUCAUUAGAUGGUCUGAGAGGAUGAUCAUCCAGACUGGGACUGAGACACGGCCCAGACUCCUACGGGAGGCAGCAGUGAGGAAUCUUGCACAAUGGGGGAAACCCUGAUGCAGCAACGCCGCGUGGAGGAAGACGGCCUUCGGGUUGUAAACUCCUUUUAUCAAGGACGAACAUUGACGGUACUUGAUGAAUAAGAGGUGGCUAACUAUGUGCCAGCAGCCGCGGUAAUACAUAGACCUCAAGCGUUAUCCGGAUUUACUGGGCGUAAAGCGUGCGUAGGUGUCUUGGUAAGUCUCUGGUGAAAUCUCCGAGCUCAACUCGGAAACGGUCAGAGAAACUAUCAGGAUAGAGUGUCGCAGAGGCAGACGGAAUGCUAGGUGUAGCGGUAAAAUGCGUAGAUAUCUAGCAGAACACCGAUGGCGAANGCAGUCUGCUGGGCGAUCACUGACACUGANGUACGAAAGCGUGGGGAGCGAACGGGAUUAGAUACCCCGGUAGUCCACGCCGUAAACGAUGGGUACUANGUAUCUGGGGCAUANACCCCCUGGGUAUCGAANCUAACGCGUUANUACCCGCCNGGGGAGUACNGCCCAAGGCUAAACUCAAAGAAUUGACGGGAACCCCACANCGGNGANCGUGUGGUUANUGCGACCUAACNCAAACNUACCAGNNUGAAUCCNANAUCCUCNAAAGAGGAUGCCCANGAC
rnacentral:rRNA from 1 species